rnacentral:rRNA from 1 species
UACGUAGGGUGCGAGCGUUAAUCGGAAUUACUGGGCGUAAAGCGUGCGCAGGCGGUUCCGCAUGUCGGGCGUGAAAUCCCCGGGCUUAACCUGGGAAUGGCGUCCGAAACUAUGGGACUGGAGUGUGGCAGAGGGAGGUGGAAUUCCACGUGUAGCGGUGAAAUGCGUAGAGAUGUGGAGGAACACCGAUGGCGAAGGCAGCCUCCUGGGCCAACACUGACGCUCAUGCACGAAAGCGUGGGGAGCAAACGGG